AUGGCUUUCUCUUAUAGAAUGUCCCUUUUCAGAGUUCUGCUCCUUGUACUAAUCAUUUUUGUGACAUCUCAAUUAAGAGUAGAUUGCAGGCCAUUAUUCAUACAUUAUCACCAGCAUGGCCUUGUUUUGCAAUCUCUUCCUAACGGUGUUGCACCUGGUUCAUCAGGAGAUCACACUCAUCCAUAA